CGGUUAAAAAGCUCGUAGUUGGAUCUCGGCAGGUAGGGGGCGGUUCGUUUCUGACGGCACUGCCCCAUUUACCUGUGUUUUUGACGGAGGUUUCACGGUGAUUUUCAUCGAUUGUCGUGAUACGCCGUCAGGUUUACUUUGAAAAAAUUAGAGUGCUCAAAGCAGGCUACAAGCUUGAAUAUUUGUGCAUGGAAUAAUGGAAUAGGAAGUCGUUUCUAUUUUUUUGGUUUUCGGAAAUUGACUUAAUGAUUAAUAGGGACAGCCGGGGGCAUUCGUACUCAGACGACAGAGGUGAAAUUCUUGGACCGUCUGAGGACGAGCUACUGCGAAAGCAUUUGCCAAGAGUGUUUUCAUUAAUCAAGAACGAAAGUUAGAGGUUCGAAGGCGAUCAGAUACCGCCCUAGUUCUAUACCAUAAACGAUGCUGACUAGCGAUCCGUAGCUGUUUUCUAUGUAGGCUCUACGGGAAGCUUUCCGGGAAACCAAGUUUUUGAGUUCCGGGGGAAGUAUGGUU
rnacentral:rRNA from 1 species